ACGUAGGGUGCGAGCGUUAAUCGGAAUUACUGGGCGUAAAGGGCGCGUAGGCGGCCACCGCAAGUCGGUUGUGAAAUCUCUGGGCUUAACCCAGAAAGGUCAAUCGAUACUGCGGGGCUAGAGUGCAGAAGGGGCAACUGGAAUUCUCGGUGUAGCGGUGAAAUGCGUAGAUAUCGAGAGAAACACCUGCGGCGAAGGCGGGUUGCUGGGCAGACACUGACGCUGACAGCGCGAAAGCUAGGGGAGCGAACGGGA
rnacentral:rRNA from 1 species